rnacentral:rRNA from 1 species
UUCUGGCUCAGGAUUAACGCUGGCGGCAUGCCUAAUACAUGCAAGUCGAAUGGGGAGCUUGCUUCCCAUGGCGAACGGGUGAGUAAUACGUAGGUAACCUACCUUUAGGACGAGGAUAACCUUUGGAAACGAAGGAUAAUACUGGAUAGUAUAGAUUUCCGCAUGGAGAUAUAUUUAAAGAUUUAUCACCUAGAGAGGGGCCUGCGGUGCAUUAGCUAGUUGGCGGGAUAAAGCCCACCAAGGCGAUGAUGCAUAGCCGGACUGAGAGGUUGUACGGCCACAAUGGAACUGAGAACGGUCCAUACUCCUACGGGAGGCAGCAGUAGGGAAUUUUCGGCAAUGGGCGGAAGCCUGACCGAGCAAAUGCCGCGUGAAUGAUGAAGUAUUUCGGUAUGUAAAGUUCUUUUAUCUAGGAAGAAAAACAAAUUGACGGUACUAGAUGAAUAAGCUCCGGCUAACUACGUGCCAGCCGCAGC